CACACCGCCCGUCACACCAUGGGAGUUGGCUUUACCCGAAGGCGGUGCGCUAACCAGCAAUGGAGGCAGCCGACCACGGUAGGGUCAGCGACUGGGGUG
rnacentral:rRNA from 1 species